rnacentral:lncRNA from 1 species
ACCCUCUGUUUUGGGCAACUUGAGACAAUUAGACAUAAGAUGUGUGGGUUUUAGGCAAAUUAUAAAAAUAUGUGGCUACGUGAGAAGCACGCUAAAAAAUCGUGGUCGUGUGAAAUUUACUUCUUUUUUUAUCUAGCACUCCUGCAUCUUCACCUAAAGCGCGAUGCAUGUAACACUAGGAGGCAACCCCAUUAGUGACUACGUUUGUCAUGUCAAGAGUGCACCAGCUCUCUACGGCCCUGUUGGAACACAUGAAUACAAAACAUAGGAAAGAAAAAAAAACACGUGAAUAGAAAAACAAUGUACUUGUAAACCAAAUGAUUGAAAAUAGAGCCCAAACAGAAAGUGUACCAAAAGGUAUUCCAAUGCCUGCAACAACAUUCCCAGGGAUUAAUUCGUGUAAACCAAUCGCUGC